GCGAAGCCGACACCAAAGAUGGAGAAUCGGCUUUGAUGAAUGAAGAAAACUCCUCAGAUCUCAAAGGGUUGAGUGGAGACUGGUACUCUGAUCUGAUGUGUUUCCUGGAGACCGGCUGCAAACAGAUCAGCAUUGUGACGCAAAGACAAAAGAAGAUGAAGAGGAGGAAGGAGUGGACAUGGAUCAAGAGGCUGCAACGACUUCAGUAUCGAACCCUUUGACCCCUUUGACCCAAGCAUGAGGCAGUGAAGGAACAGGACAGUAUAUUAGCUUUACAUUUGAAUUGGAAAGUAAUUGGUAAGAUUUAAAUAUGAAAGUAACAUUAUGAAUUCAUAUUAGGUUUACUUAUUAUGUCCAGAAAUUGUAUCCACUGUACUUUCUGGAUAUAGUGUAGAUUUUGAAAAGGGGAACUUUUCUUUACACAUGACAGGAGAUGUAGAAAUGUAAGUUUUAGUCGUGUUCUUUUCUUUUUCCUAAUGAUGGUGGAUGUGGAGCUUUCUAUGAAAUGCUGUAGGUUUACACAUGUGCUGUCAGAUCUUUCCAAAUAAAGGAUGUUACAUCAAA